rnacentral:tRNA from 1 species
AUCUAAAUAGCUUAUAAAGAGCAUGAUAUUGAAGAUAUCAAGGAAAUAAUUUUUAUUUUUAGGUA